rnacentral:tRNA from 1 species
GAAAUAUGUUGUUCAAAUAUAAGCUGCUAACUUUUAUUUUUAAUAGUUUAAUUCUAUUUAUAUUUCU